rnacentral:rRNA from 1 species
UACGUAGGUCCCGAGAGUUGUCCGGAUUUAUUGGGCGUAAAGCGAGCGCAGGUGGUUUAUUAAGUCUGGUGUAAAAGGCAGUGGCUCAACCAUUGUAUGCAUUGGAAACUGGUAGACUUGAGUGCAGGAGAGGAGAGUGGAAUUCCAUGUGUAGCGGUGAAAUGCGUAGAUAUAUGGAGGAACACCGGUGGCGAAAGCGGCUCUCUGGCCUGUAACUGACACUGAGGCUCGAAAGCGUGGGGAGCAAACAGG